AAACUUGACAAUUACUACAAGAAAUUUGGAAAAAAGACAUGUCUUUAAGUUAAUUUCUUUUUUCCUUUUUUUCUUUGUUUUUUGAGACAGGGUCUCACUCUGUUGCCCAGACUGGAGUACAGUGGUGUGAUCUCGGCUCACUGCAACCUCUGCCUCCCAGGCUCAAGCAAUUCUCCUGCCUCAGCCUUCUGAGUAGCUGGGAUUACAGGCAUGCACCACUACUGCCUGGCAAAUUUUUGUAUUUUUAGUAGCAACAGGAUUUCACCAUGUUGUCCAGGCUAACACAGGAUGAAUGCCUUCGUCCUGAUUUAGCCUCAGGUGGUCCUCACCAGAAUCUGACAGGCAGAUACCCUGGGAUUCAGGGAAUAUUAUAAUCCCAGGGAAUUCAGUCCAUUGUUAAUGUUGGUCAGGAAUCAUAUACAGUAUGAGUUAAGAAAUACCAGAAUUCAUAAAGUAAGAAUGUUUCUGCCUCUUUGUGGGCACCUGAAAAUUGAAUUGUCUGC
rnacentral:lncRNA from 10 species